rnacentral:rRNA from 1 species
GAUGAACGCUGGCGGCGUGCUUAACACAUGCAAGUCGAACGGAAAGGCCCAAGCUUGCUUGGGUACUCGAGUGGCGAACGGGUGAGUAACACGUGGGUGAUCUGCCCCGCACUUCGGGAUAAGCCUGGGAAACUGGGUCUAAUACCGGAUAGGACAGUGGUUUGGAUGCCAUUGUGGAAAGUUUUUUCGGUAUGGGAUGAGCUCGCGGCCUAUCAGCUUGUUGGUGGGGUAAUGGCCUACCAAGGCGUCGACGGGUAGCCGGCCUGAGAGGGUGUACGGCCACAUUGGGACUGAGAUACGGCCCAGACUCCUACGGGAGGCAGCAGUGGGGAAUAUUGCACAAGGGGCGCAAGCCUGAUGCAGCGACGCCGCGUGGGGGAUGACGGCCUUCGGGUUGUAAACUCCUUUCGCUAGGGACGAAGCGUUAUGUGACGGUACCUAGAGAAGAAGCACCGGCUAACUACGUG